GGUCCGUUGGCCCAAUGGCAAGGCGUCCGCCUACGGAGCGGAAGAUUGCGGGUUCGAUCCCCGUGCGGACCU
rfam:Talaromyces islandicus isolate WF-38-12 genome assembly, contig: WF-38-12_scaffold00008